CCUACGGGUGGCAGCAGUGGGGAAUAUUGGACAAUGGGCGAAAGCCUGAUCCAGCCAUGCCGCGUGUGUGAAGAAGGCCUUCGGGUUGUAAAGCACUUUCAGUGGGGAAGAAAGCCUUGGGGCUAAUACCCUCGAGGAAGGACAUCACCCACAGAAGAAGCACCGGCUAACUCCGUGCCAGCAGCCGCGGUAAUACGGAGGGUGCGAGCGUUAAUCGGAAUUACUGGGCGUAAAGCGCGCGUAGGCGGUCUGAUAAGCCGGUUGUGAAAGCCCCGGGCUCAACCUGGGAACGGCAUCCGGAACUGUCAGGCUAGAGUGCAGGAGAGGAAGGUAGAAUUCCCGGUGUAGCGGUGAAAUGCGUAGAGAUCGGGAGGAAUACCAGUGGCGAAGGCGGCCUUCUGGACUGACACUGACGCUGAGGUGCGAAAGCGUGGGUAGCAACCAGGAUUAGAUACCCCAGUAGUC
rnacentral:rRNA from 1 species